rnacentral:rRNA from 1 species
AUGCUGACGAGUGGCGGACGGGUGAGUAACGCGUAGGGAUCUGCCUUAUAGUGGGGGAUAACCUGGGGAAACUCAGGCUAAUACCGCAUGACUCUCACGAGAGAAAGCAGGGGACCGUAAGGCCUUGCGCUAUAAGAUGAACCUGCGUCGGAUUAGCUUGUUGGUGGGGUAAUGGCCUACCAAGGCGAUGAUCCGUAGCUGGUCUGAGAGGACGAUCAGCCACACUGGGACUGAGACACGGCCCAGACUCC